rnacentral:lncRNA from 10 species
GAGGAGACCCCGGCCAACACGGCCUCCCUGGGUUCCCAGGGCUCAAGGUGAGGAGCAAUUUCAUCAUGAAGCUGGCAAGACACUCUGAGGCCUCCCCAGGUGUCCCGUUCUUGCCUUUUAUCUCCUAAGUUUACACAGCUUCAGACCGGCAACACUCAUGGACCCAAGGCAUGGCUAAACCAUUCUAAAAACCCACAUACCCCAAGGCGGACUUUCUACAUGUCCACUGGUGAGACUGAGAAGGGGCGCUGCUGUGGGAACCGCAGCCGACAGCUCUUGAAAGAGUUCAAUAGGGGGUCACCACGUGACCCAGAAAUGCCACUCCUGGUGUAUCCCCAAGAGACUUGAAAGCACGUGUCCACACAAACACACAUACACCAAUGUUCACAGCAGCAUUCUUCAAAAUAGGCAGAAGGUGAAACUAUCCAAAUGUGCGUCACCUGAUGAAUGGAUCAGCUAAAUCUAUACAGCAUCUAUACCACAGAAUAGCCCUGACCUUCACGUGGGAGCAAGGUGCUGAGCCAUACCACACUGUGGAUGAACCUGGAACAUGUUAUGCCAUGGGGAUUGAGACCCACACAGAAGGACACAUGCUAUCACAUGGUCUCUCAUUCUAUUCUUAUGAAAUGUCCACACAGGCAACCUAGAAACAGGAAGUCGAUUGGUGGCUGCCACAGGUGGAGGUGGGGGUGGGGGUGGGGAGUACCUGCUUAAUGGGAAUGGGGUUUCUUUUUGAUAUAAUGAAGAUGUUCUGAAAUUAGAUAAGAGUGAUGGUUGCACAACCUUGUGAAAAUACUAAAAAUCACUGAAUUUUAUGCUUUAAAACAGUGAACUUUGUGCUAUAUGAAUUAUAUCUCAAAAAAACCUA